GUGUUGUACGGAAGGAGAGAGGUUGGCAUUCCCCUUGACAAGGAUGAAAGAGGCCCUCGGGCCUGACAACAAGCAUUUAGUUAAGGCAUUGCCACCUACUUCGUGGCAUCUAACCAUUAUUUAAA
rnacentral:ncRNA from 1 species